rnacentral:rRNA from 1 species
GACGUAGGGCGCGAGCGUUGUCCGGAUUUAUUGGGCGUAAAGAGCUCGUAGGCGGCUUGUCGCGUCGAAUGUGAAAUCUCAGGGCUCAACUCUGACAUUGCAUUCGAUACGGGCAGGCUAGAGUUCGGUAGGGGAGACUGGAAUUCCUGGUGUAGCGGUGAAAUUCGUAGAUAUCAGGAGGAACACCAGUGGCGAAGGCGGCUUUCUGGACGAUUACUGACGCUGAGACGCGAAAGCGUGGGGAGCAAACAGG